CCUACGGGAGGCUGCAGUGAGGAAUAUUGGUCAAUGGACGAGAGUCUGAACCAGCCAAGUAGCGUGAAGGAUGACUGCCCUAUGGGUUGUAAACUUCUUUUAUAUGGGAAUAAAACGUUCCACGUGUGGGAUUUUGUAUGUACCAUAUGAAUAAGGAUCGGCUAACUCCGUGCCAGCAGCCGCGGUACUACGGAGGAUCCGAGCGUUAUCCGGAUUUAUUGGGUUUAAAGGGAGCGUAGGUGGAGUGUUAAGUCAGUUGUGAAAGUUUGCGGCUCAACCGUAAAAUUGCAGUUGAAACUGGCAGUCUUGAGUACAGUAGAGGUGGGCGGAAUUCGUGGUGUAGCGGUGAAAUGCUUAGAUAUCACGAAGAACUCCGAUUGCGAAGGCAGUUCACUGGACUGCAACUGACACUGAGGCUCGAAAGUGUGGGUAUCAAACAGGAUUAGAUACCCGAGUAGUC
rnacentral:rRNA from 1 species